GCUAAAAGCCUAGCCCUACUUAACCGAAUGAAAUCCCACAAAAUAACAAUACAAAUAAAACAUUCUUCUAACCAAGUAAAGGCGAUUAAAAAGUAUUUAGGAGCCUUAACACCAGUACCGCAAGGGAAAGGUGAAAUAAAAAUGAAAUAAAUUUUAAGCACCACAAAGUAGAGACUCCCCCUCGUACCUUUUGCAUCAUGGUCUAACUAGUACAACCAAGCAAAACGAACUUUAAGUUUGACAUCCCGAAACUAGACGAGCUACUUCAAAACAGCCUUUAUGGGCCAACCCAUCCCUGUUGCAAAAGGGUGGGAAGAUUUUCAAGUAGAAGUGACAGACCUACCGAGCCUAGAGAUAGCUGGUUAUUCAAGAAAAGGAUAUUAGUCCAAUUUUAAGCCUUAAUAUAAAAUCAAAUACACCCGUAGAUUUAAAAUUCAUUCAAAUAAGGUACAGCCUAUUUGAAACAGGAUACAACCUUCAACAGGGGGUAAUGCUCAAACUAACGUGACCAAGUGGGCCUAAAAGCAGCCAUCUUUAAAAAAGCGUUAAAGCCUUGUCACAUCUUAUCACUAAUUUCAACAAAAACCCAAAACCCCUCACUUAUAUUGAAUGACUCCAUACUCAUAUGGAAGACCCUAUGUUUGAACUAGUAACAAGAAUAACUUCUCCACAAAUGUAAGUGUAGGCCGGAAUGAACCACUCACCGACAUUUAUCGCCAACGGACCCACAGUAACAACUUUUCCAAGAAAACCUUACUUUUCCCCCAGCGUUAACCUUACACAAGAACUUUCCAGGAAAGAUUAAAAAAAGAGGAAGGAACUCGGCAAACAUUAACCCCGCCUGUUUACCAAAAACAUCGCCUUCUGAUAACCAAUUGAAGGUCCAGCCUGCCCAGUGAUAAACUUAAACGGCCGCGGUACUUUAACCGUGCAAAGGUAGCACAAUCACUUGUUCUUUAAAUAAGGACUAGUAUGAAUGGCAUCACGAGGGUUACACUGUCUCCCCCCUUUAAUCAGUGAAACUAAUCUCCCCGUGAAGAAGCGGGGAUACACAUAUAAGACGAGAAGACCCCAUGGAGCUUAAAACUUAGUACCACUUGCACUAUUUAUAUCACCUAAAUCAAGCAAGACUGUUUACUAGUUUUUGGUUGGGGCGACCGCGGAGCAAAACAAAACCUCCACGACGAAAGGAGAAUACCUCCUAAUCAGAGAACUACUACUCGCAGAAUCAAAAUAUUGACCUAAGUUGAUCCAAUAUACUUGAACAACGAACCAAGUUACCCUGGGGAUAACAGCGCAAUCCAUUUCAAGAGCCCGUAUCAACAAAUGGGUUUACGACCUCGAUGUUGGAUCAGGGUAUCCCAGUGGUGCAGCCAUUACUAAAGGUUCGUUUGUUCAACGAUUAAAACCCUACGUGAUCUGAGUUCAGACCGGAGCAAUCCAGGUCGGUUUCUAUCUAUAAAGAGUCUCUCCUAGUACGAAAGGACUGGAGUAACAUGGCCAAUAUAAAAACAAGCCAUCGCUAUUAAUUAAUGACCUCAACUCAAUUAAUUUUAGCCUAAUAACAACCCUAAGACAAAAGA
rnacentral:rRNA from 1 species